CCAGGGGCUUCUUACCAGAGUUAUGCAGUGAUGGGUUUAGUUCUGAAUGGAUGAAGAGUUCCUGAGAGCUAGCGUUUGUAAUUAGAACCGUUACUUGGUAUCUGUGCCUUAUUUGACCUUUGGUUCCACAUGCCUUGGAUGUGCAUGCACCGUGACGGUUUCAUAGGUACGAACGCACACUCAGGCCCAGUCACUUCGGUUGGUAGUACAGAUUGUGAGGAAAAAGAUGGAGGCAUCCUUAAGGAGGAAAAAUGUUUGCCUUUAGUUCCUGCAUUAUCCUGUACAGAGGGGCUCCUGAGUUUUGGAAGCCUGUUCCCAGUACAGGAGAACAACUCCCCUGUUUGCAGCAGGAGACUUCAGUGCACGGUGACAACGCUGGAGUUCAAGAGGAAGCCAGCAAUGCUGCACCAUUGGCUUCAGACACCAUUGUUGUUGUUUGCCAGUUUUAAACUUAACUAGUUGCAGACGAAGACCACCUUGAAAUGCAGGCUUGUUGGGCUUGUUUUGAAUUUUAACCUCGGAUGGAAGAGCCCUAGUGCUGUCUGUCUCCAUGCGGGAUGAUGAUUGCUAGGCAACAGGUGAUUAUCAACAAAGGAUGCCACGGUUAUACUCUGCAAGGUGGUGUUCCAGUGGCAAACAGCUGUAUAAACUCUUGUAAACAGGAACUACUGACAAAAACCUAUAGUCGACUUUGGGAUCUGACUUUAUUAUUCAGCAACUCAAAGAUGAGUUCUAAUUGGCAGACUUCUGGCACUGGC
rnacentral:lncRNA from 1 species